GGGCGACUAAACCCAAAGGCGCAUGAAGUGAAGGUUCCCUUCGGACUCUAGGGAGGAUCCGUUUUAGGACGGACGAGGGGGUCAAACUCCUUGUCCGCCCCGGCGCACUCCCGGGGCGUCCCGACCGCUAUUUGCCGGUGGGGCGCACCUAGAGCGUACACGUUGGGACCCGAAAGAUGGUGAACUAUGCCUGGCCAGGACGAAGCCAGAGGAAACUCUGGUGGAGGUCCGUAGCGAUUCUGACGUGCAAAUCGAUCGUCGGAGCUGGGUAUAGGGGCGAAAGACUAAUCGAACCAUCUAGUAGCUGGUUCCCUCCGAAGUUUCCCUCAGGAUAGCUGGUGCUCGGAGAGUUGGACGACUUUAUCAGUCUCAUCCGGUAAAGCGAAUGAUUAGAGGCCUUGGGGCCGAAAUGACCUCAACCUAUUCUCAAACUUUAAAUGGGUGAGAAGUCGGGCUUGCUUGACACAACCCUCACGGGUUUGAAGCUUGACACAGGAUGUAAGAGCACCCAGUGGGCCACUUUUGGUAAGCAGAACUGGCGCUGUGGGAUGAACCAAACGCCGGGUUACGGCGCCCGAUACGACGCUCAUUAGACCCCAUGAAAGGUGUUGGUUGCUUUAGACAGCAGGACGGUGGCCAUGGAAGUCGGAAUCCGCUAAGGAGUGUGUACUAACUCACC
rnacentral:rRNA from 1 species